UUUUUCCGACAGAACUCCAUUAUCUUCUUCACCAACAAAGCCGUUUAAUUUUGAUCUCCCAAAUCAUGUAACAACGAUAGUCGAAGGAAUUAGAGGAUUGAAUCUCAGUCAAUCAAGGAAUUAGGCGUUUAAUUUUGAUCUCCCAAAGCGUCUAAUUUUGCUAAACUUGAUCAAUUACAGAAUGCCGAGAGAAUUGGAUCUUCGAAAAUAAUAGAUUUGGUAAAGUGUACAGACAUGGGGUGAAAUUCUUCAUACAAUUUGCAGCUACAUAUGGUAUUUGGAAAACCGUUUGUCCUUGCCCAUGUUCUAGAUGUUUAAAUGGGGAUAGUCUCAUUAUUAAGGAAGUGCAGCAACAUUUGUACCUGUAUGGUAUCGACAAGACGUAUGUGACUUGGGUCUUUCAUGGUGAGAAGCGGCCGGGUAAUAAUGCGAUGAGUAUUCCAGUAGAGGAUGUGGCUAACGAUCAAAUUAUAGAAGAUGCAUUUCCAGAUUUGAGUCCUCUUAUUGAUGCUGCAUUUGAAGUUCAUGAAAGGAAUAGUGGUGGUGUUUGCGUAGAUGAUGUGAAUGGGACACAGGAUGGUGAUGAAGAUCCAUUUGAGUUUGAACCAGAUGCACAAAAGCGACAUGAAAAGUAUAAAAAAUUGGCUGAACAGAAAUUGUAUCCCACUUGUGAACGCAAGGUCAGUACACUCUCUGCGAUUGUGGAGCUGCAGAAUAUAAAGAAACAGUUUGGAAUUUCAGGUAAUUGUGUGACCAAAUUGCUGGAAAUGGUAAAAGGGUGGAUACCAGAAGAAAAUACGUUGCCCAGUAAAUACACGGAGAUGAAGUCGAUUAUGAUGGGUCUGGCGAAUUUUGCGACACCCUCUUACCCGUCUUAGAUUCUACUGGUAAGGAGGUCGCGGUGGAUGAAGUAGAAACACAAACGAAGUUCAUUCCAUGGUUGGUUGAAAAGAUGGAACCUGUUGAAGCUUCUAUAGAUACAUAUAAUGUUUGUACAGGCUAAAAAGGAAGGUUUAGCAGUUGAGGCUGCACGAGGGCUUGCUUGGAUGGAUGGACAUGUUGGAAAAGAUGGAACUGUCAAUAUUUCAGCUGUCGAGAAACACGAGCAAGUAAAGGCCGCUAGAGCUAAGAGGAAGGAGCUAAUCGAUGCAGGAUUGGUAUCCGCUUUAGACUUUGAGAAUGAUUAAAUUGCAGAAGUUUUUGGAACUGACAAUCGCAGAACUGGUUUGUUGGGCUAUUCUCCUCUUCUAUCAAAAAAGCAAGCCUUCUACGCAAGUGUUGCAACCGCAGUUAUGGCAGCAAAAACAACCUCAACCAGUAAUGCACCAAGGACCGACCUUAUGGACGAGGCUCUACUGCAAAAGCAUACCGAACUGAUUACCAAUGUGAGCUUUCAUUUACAAGUUCUAUUUUUAUUUUUUAUAUCUUGAAUGAUGAACUGGAUACUUUGUGAUUUUGUGUCUCAUGUGCUAGUACGUAACAUGUAGAGAAUAACCUUAACUUAUAUGUGUAGAGCUUGGAAAUUCUGAAUGUUACUUGAAUAUACCAGAAUUUGUUAAGUGUGGCUCCUUUUAAUCGGCACCAUCUUAUUGGCUCAUAGAAGUUUAAAACAAAGUGACGUGUAUUCUGAAUUUUACUUGAUGGCAGUCAAGUUGUUUAGGAAGGUUCUUUAGUCUUUUACAUAUAUUUUAGACUUUCAAGUUGUACAUUCAUCUAUGUCUAUGGCUAAUCACCGCAGGGCAUUUAACUUGGCUUGAUUUUGUCGAGUAUAAUUGCGACGGUGGUCUAAUAGUACACCGCAGGAAUGUAUUAGGUCGCUCCGAAGCAUUUGUCGCAGAAAUGAUUAUUUUGAGUUUGUCUAUUGUAUCAGUUUGUCUCUUGUUAUUAGUGUAAGAGAUCUGUUCACAUCAAUCUUAGCAUAAUUAGGAACGAAACACUUAUUUGGUUGAUAUAUAGUGCUGUGACGUCCCUAUUUUUCCUUUCCUUGGGAUAUCCUUUUGAUAUAAAUGCAAGAUGAAUGUUUACACAAAUGGCAAACAUAUAUAUAUUUUUUGUGGCCUCCGUUUCGAAGUGAGUAAUGCAAGCAGGCUUGACUUCUGGUAACUGUCAGUCCUGGUGAUCGGAAAUUAGAGGUCCGACUGCCGGGAAAUGGCAGGACCGGUGAUCGGAAAUGUCAGGUCCGAUUAUCGGAAAAGUGUCAUUUGUUACAUAUCAAAGGUAACAAAUUUUCUAACGAAAAUAGUGUUGGAAAAAUUCUGGAACCAAAAGACACAUGUUGUCUGUUUACUGGUAAUCUUAACAGUAAUAAAAAGGGUUAGCAAUGUUUAUAACGUAGUAUGUACAUUACAAAGUAAAUAUGAAGUGUAAAAUGUCAAUAGUUAGCAUAAAUAUUGUAAUGAAAUCAAAGUGUUAGCCAACUUAAUUUCCCUAAAGGAUUCAAAGAGUUGGCCAAAAUUCUCACACAUUAUAUAACUGCAUUCCAGUAACUAUUUAUUUUAGUUAGGGAAAUUAGCUUGUAUUUUUUUGUAAUGCUUUUUUGCUAUGAGCAAAUCCUUGAUUUGGUGUAGUAUAUCCACUGGAAAGGCAAGGUCCAUUAUCAAUUUGCAGCAACUCUUCAGAGGAGCAAAAUGUUUCUGUCACGUUUAUGGAGUAUGGGGAAUACUAGUGGAACUACAUGGCCUUUCAUUGAGUUACCUGAAACACCUGUCUCUACGAGUUGUAUAGAAGCAAAAUGCUUAAAAAUGUAGUGAUACUUUAUAAGCACCGCACUUUUGGGUUGCAGGUUCCUCUGUACAUGCCAGGAGAGCGUCAUGGCUUGUGAGAAAUUUUUAUAAGGCUGAUGGAAAUUCAAGUCAUGCUCACUAGGAUUCCAAGGGUGUUGAAGUUGGUGAUAUUUUUGCGGUUGGAAACUGUAACAAGCUAUGAUGCUCAGCUUGAUGGUGAAUAAAGUUUAAAUGGACUCAUGGUGGGUCAAAAUGCAAAUAUUUAUGGUCUUCUUGUGGUGGGUAUUCAAUUUGAUUUAUGGAUUGUGGUUCGCGUCAGCAGGAUCUAUAUGGGUUUUACCUCAUUUAUGUUGAACACAAUCUGGUACUACUACGGGACUAAUACAUUAACCGAAUUAGAAGUUUGUCGGCAGUUUACAGCAAUUCAAGUUUCACAUACGGAGCUCGAGCUACUUGCUUAUGAGGUGGUAAGGACUGUACAAGUCAAGAUCAUGGUACGACGGGAUAGGAAAUUCCAUAAUUCUACUUCCACUUUAGUUAAAAGAGGAGUCACACUUCUUCUGCACGAUACGAGAACUGUCAUCAAUCAAUGGUAUCUGAUUAUCACUACAGUGGGUUUAACUUCUCAUUUCGGUACAAAAAUGACUUAAUGAGAUAGUGGGAAGUAUAGCAUAUGGAGGCAUCACUACAAUCUGGACUACAGUGCAUUCUCGAAAUCAGUUGAGCUGAUAAGUACUUCAACCUCAAGCUCCGUUCUCACUCGCUGGCAUUUUUGUAAAUAAACCUCAACCUCAAGUCUGCCCAGCUACGCCUACGCCUUCCCAAAUUGAAGACAACCCUGUGACACGAUUCCUCGAGGACAAUGAUGUUUUGUAGGGGAAGAUAUUAUCAUGUACCUGGCUAUUGAGAGAAGGGUGCCUCAUCCCACUCGGUGUUAGUAGUUAGUGGUAGGCUUAUUAGUAAUAAGUAACUUAUUAAUGAGUGUCUUUAUCAUUUGUAAAGAGUGGUUUAGAUGUAACCAUCUGGUGGCAUUGGAGCCAUGGGAUCUAUUGAGUAGAGUCGAGCUUUACAAGCUCAAGUUCUGUAAUAGUCAGGGUUAAAAAAAUUAUAAUCAAAAGUAUCGAUUAGGCCGUGUUCCUUGUGAA